rnacentral:rRNA from 1 species
AUGAUACAUGCCAAAGUCAUGAAACAUAUGGUUAACAAGUUCAAGCAAUUGAUCCAAGAAGGUUUAGUCUACAUGAUAGCGAAUUUUAAGGUUACAUCUGCCAUGAAUUUCCGUCCAGUCGAAGGCGACAAGAUUAUUAACUUCUUGCACACAACAAAAAUUCAAGAGAUUAAGGGACUUAAAAAUAUCACAAUAGCAGAACAAAGUUUCAUGUUUUGUAGUGUUGAAGUUCUUUCCACAAGAGAUGGCCAGAGGAUGUACUUAUCGGAUGUCAUUGGGGUAGCAAGUUAUAUAGGGAAUAUUGAAGAAACGGAGACAACCCAUAGGAUUUCCAAGAUUCGAGAUAUUGUACUUCGAAUUGAGUAA